AAAAAUAAAUCUAACCAGACAAUCUAAAAGUAUUAGAAAGUAUUAAAACUGUUCGAAUGAAUCAAAUAACUCAAUAUUAACAAAGAACAUAAGGUCGCCGGCCUUACAAGAUACAAUUGCUUUGUUAACUGUUUGUUGUUGUGACAGGGUCUUGGAUUCAAAGAUCAAUUGAUUGCGACUCAGCCAUAGACACCAACAGAUCCAGGGGGAGAUGUUGGAUACAAUCCCCACCGGCGGAAGGUUAAUACGUCGAUGAGAGGUCUGGAGUUCCUCUUGGAAGGAGGAGCUUUGGGAUGAGUUGAAGCUAGAUGUCCACGGGGAGAGUUUCCACACUUCAGUAGCAUAAGGGCAGAGGAAGAGAACAUGGAGAAGCGUCUCCGGAGCUCCACACCGCACACAGUUAUUAUUCCUUGGGAUGUUCCUUCUAAGCAAAUUAUCUCCUGUAGACAGUGGAUUCAGGCGCAUUCGUGAGACUAGGUCGUAGCAUCAGGAUGUGUUCAGAUAGCUUUGGUAGUAGCUUCUCCAGGAGAGCUCGAUUCCACUCCUUUGUCUCUCUCGAGAGUAGACAACUUUAUAUAUCAAUCUAUUAUUAUAAAGUUGUGUUCUCUCUCCUGAGAGAGACACUUAGAUUCCAGGUCACAAAGUUUGCUUCUGUCCAGGCGACACGUGUCUUCUGUAGACAAAACUCAGCGUUUCAGUAAGGAGAUAUCUUAAACUCUACGUUUCAUAGACAUCGAGACCAGCCGCAAAAAAAUUUAGGGUUUGGUGUUUCUUCCACAAUGAAUCAAAGAGUCUUUUUCUUCUUCGAUCUCUGCAAGGCGGUGUCUAUAUUCCUCUAAAAUGGCUAAUUCAUCAAUCCUUUUUCAGAAUAGAAGUCAGCCCUAUGUUUUUCAACCGUGGAGGUGCGAUUGACAGAAACGUCAUUAGCUCUGGAGACGUACCAAGAGGCUUCAUUGGCCCUCAUGUUAAUAGAUGACAGUGGCAAGGGCCAAUGAUGAUGGCAGAGAUAAGACCUCAGCAGAUAAUAUUAACAAUAGAGCCCAUUCACCUGGCUGUUCUCGGUGGCCAACCACUUUGAGAUCUUCUGUGUCGUCCCAGUCCCAAAGGUUUCGCAGCGGUUUGUCAUUGUAUUGUAAGGAAGCGGAGAAGUGGAGACAGAUGAGACAACCACUACUUGACCAGCCGCCACCUCAAGGGCCUAAAUAACAAAUUUAUGAACCAACCAAUGAUAAGAAGAUACAAUAUCUACAUCAACCAGUUUCUAACUUAUGUCGAAUACGGUCUGCACUUGCAGAUUCCAUGAGCUGGUCAAUGCUGAUAAGUUGAGGAAUAGAUGGUGAAGAGGACCCUCUUGGGUGAAAACGUACAGAGAGUUCACUCGUCGCUUCGUCCUCAACCAUUGAACCUGCAUUUACGUCCUGUAAUAUAUAAACACAAGCAGGCAAGAUUAUAAUAUUUAAAAUCCAAGUCUUGAAGAAAAAUCCAAUUCGGUU